CAGGGAUUGCCUCAGUAACGGCGAGUGAAGCGGCAACAGCUCAAAUUUGAAAGCUGGCCCCCUCGGGGCCCGCGUUGUAAUUUGUAGAGGAUGCUUCGGGCGCGGCGCCGGUCUAAGUUCUUUGGAACAAGACGUCAUGGAGGGUGAGAAUCCCGUAUGUGACUGGUGGCCUGUGCCCAUGUGAAGCUCCUUCGACGAGUCGAGUUGUUUGGGAAUGCAGCUCAAAAUGGGAGGUGUAUUUCUUCUAAAGCUAAAUAUUGGCCAGAGACCGAUAGCGCACAAGUAGAGUGAUCGAAAGAUGAAAAGCACUUUGGAAAGAGAGUUAAACAGUACGUGAAAUUGUUGAAAGGGAAGCGCUUGCAAUCAGACUUGCGCGGCGUUGAUCAGCCUGGGUUCUCCCGGGUGCACUCGGCGCCGCUCAGGCCAGCAUCAGUUUCGGCGGUGGGAUAAAGGUCCAGGGAAUGUGGGUCGCCUCGGCGAUCGUUAUAGCCCUGGGCGCAAUGCCGCCUGCCGGGACUGAGGACCGCGCUUCGGCUAGGAUGCUGGCGUAAUGGUUGUAAGCGACCCGUCUUGAAACACGGACCAAGGAGUCUAACAUUUGUGCGAGUGUUUGGGUAUCAAACCCAUACGCGUAAUGAAAGUGAACGGAGGUGAGAACCCUUAAGGGCGCAUCAUCGACCGAUCCUGAUGUCUUCGGAUGGAUUUGAGUAAGAGCACAGACGCUAGGACCCGAAAGAUGUGCGAACUAUACUUGAAUAGGGUGAAGCCAGGGGAAACCCUGGUGGAGGCUCGCAGAGGUUCUGACGUGCAAAUCGAUCUUCAAAUUUGGGUAUAGGGGCGAAAGACUAAUCGAGCCAUCUAGUAGCUGGUUCACGCCGAAGUUUCCCUCAGGAUAGCAGUGUUGUAUUCAGUUUUAUGAGGUAAAGCGAAUGAUUAGAGGCCUUGGGGUUGAAACAACCUUAACCUAUUCUCAAACUUUAAAUAUGUAAGAAGUCCUUGUUGCUUAA
rnacentral:rRNA from 1 species